rnacentral:rRNA from 1 species
GGAAACUGCCUGAUGGAGGGGGAUAACUACUGGAAACGGUAGCUAAUACCGCAUAACGUCGCAAGACCAAAGAGGGGGACCUUCGGGCCUCUUGCCAUCAGAUGUGCCCAGAUGGGAUUAGCUAGUAGGUGGGGUAACGGCUCACCUAGGCGACGAUCCCUAGCUGGCCUGAGAGGAUGACCAGCCACACUGGAACUGAGACACGGUCCAGACUCCUACGGGAGGCAGCAGUGGGGAAUAUUGCACAAUGGGCGCAAGCCUGAUGCAGCCAUGCCGCGUGUAUGAAGAAGGCCUUCGGGUUGUAAAGUACUUUCAGCGGGGAGGAAGGUGUUGUGGUUAAUAACCGCAGCAAUUGACGUUACCCGCAGAAGAAGCACCGGCUAACUCCGUGCCAGCAGCCGCGGUAAUACGGAGGGUGCAAGCGUUAAUCGGAAUUACUGGGCGUAAAGCGCACGCAGGCGGUCUGUCAAGUCGGAUGUGAAAUCCCCGGGCUCAACCUGGGAACUGCAUUCGAAACUGGCAGGCUAGAGUCUUGUAGAGGGGGGUAGAAUUCCCGGUGUAGCGGUGAAAUGCCUACACCCCUGGAGGAAUACCGGUGGCGAACGCGGCCCCCUGGACAAAGACUGACGCUCAGGUGCGAAAGCGUGCGGGAGCAAACAGGAUUAG